rnacentral:rRNA from 1 species
UACGUAGGGGGCAAGCGUUGUCCGGAAUCAUUGGGCGUAAAGCGCGCGUAGGCGGCCCGGUAAGUCCGUUGUGAAAGUCAAAGGCUCAACCUUUGAAUGCCGAUGGAUACUGCCGGGCUAGAGUCCGGAAGAGGCGAGUGGAAUUCCUGGUGUAGCGGUGAAAUGCGCAGAUAUCAGGAGGAACACCGGUGGCGAAGGCGGGUCUCUGGGCAGUAACUGACGCUGAGGAGCGAAAGCGUGGGGAGCGAACAGG